rnacentral:misc_RNA from 1 species
AACCCCCCUCGGCUCUAAUGCUUUCUAAAAGGAUUAGAGACGGAUUCUGAGUGUUGGCGUGAAUACGCCUCGCUUUAAAUAUAUCAGCACUUUUGGAUGGUUUAGAAUUAGUUCAAAAGACGUACUUGAUGUUGUAUUUAUAUUUCAUUGAGGCAGUCUUUGGUCGUUACGACUAUCCGCUAAUACGAAAACUUGAAGAAUAGCUUCCUAACCCUAUUAAAUUAACC